CCUCUGCCCCCUAGAGCCCCAUCCUGGAGUUCCACUCUGGGUACAGCGUGGGCGAGGUGGCACCGGUGGCGAGGAGCCUCCAUGCCAUGCUCAGCAGCCCGUGCGUCAACAAGCUGGAGGCCGUCCGCAGCAAAUACUCCCACCCAGUGUUCUUUGAGGUGGCAAAAAUUCCCGUCGUGAGUUUGGAGAAGCUGGAGCAGUUUCUGCAGUGAUGCUGUUCCCCGGUUUCCAGCUACAAGAGGACCUGUGGAUCACACCACAACUUUGUAAAAUAAAAUAAAACUAUAUUUAUAUUUGUAUCAAAGCUAUUUUUACAUAAAAAAGCUCUUGUGUAAGUUUCUCACCGGUGUUAAUAUACGUGUUUUUGUAUUUGUAAAAUAUUAAAUCUGUAAGAUACAAGAUGUGGAAAAAAUGUUACAGUUAGUCAUUUUAGAAAGAAAUUAGUGAAAUAAUUCUCUGAAAUAGUUCUAAUAAUUUUCUACCACUAGUUUAAAAUAAUAUAAUGUUUUAUAUGUCUUGUCUUUUUACGUGUUGUACAGUUGAUCAUGUCGUGAAGUUGUCUUACAAACUAAUAUUUCUAUGUGAAAAUUUCACUGUUCCUGAAAUAAACCUGUUUUUUAUGUUUUAAA